GGGGGGGGCAAGCGUUGUUCGGAAUUACUGGGCGUAAAGGGCUCGUAGGUGGUCAACUAAGUCAUACGUGAAAUCCCUCGGCUUAACCGGGGAACUGCGCCUGAUACUGGUUGACUUGAGUUUGGGAGAGGGACGCGGAAUUCCAGGUGUAGCGGUGAAAUGCGUAGAUAUCUGGAGGAACACCGGUGGCGAAGGCGGCGUCCUGGACCAAUACUGACACUGAGGAGCGAAAGCCAGGGGAGCAAACGGGAUUAGAUACCCCGGUAGUCCUGGCCCUAAACGAUGAAUGCUUGGUGUGGCGGGUAUCGAUCCCUGCCGUGCCGAAGCUAACGCAUUAAGCAUUCCGCCUGGGGAGUACGGUCGCAAGGCUG
rnacentral:rRNA from 1 species